GGAUUAGAUACCCUGGUAGUCCACGCCGUAAACUAUGGAUGCUAGCUGUUAUGAGUAUCGACCCUCGUAGUAGCGAAGCUAACGCGUUAAGCAUCCCGCCUGUGGAGUACGAGCGCAAGCUUAAAACAUAAAGGAAUUGACGGGGACCCGCACAAGCGGUGGAGCGUGUUGUUUAAUUCGAUGCUAAGCGAAGAACCUUACCCAGGCUUGACAUCCUUGGAAUUUCUCCGAAAGGAGAGAGUGCUUUAUUGAGCCAAGUGACAGGUGCUGCAUGGCCGUCGUCAGCUCGUGCCG
rnacentral:rRNA from 1 species